GUGGCGAACGGGUGAGUAACACGUGAGUAACCUGCCCCUGACUCUGGGAUAAGCGUUGGAAACGACGUCUAAUACUGGAUAUGAUCACUGGCCGCAUGGUCUGGUGGUGGAAAGAUUUUUUGGUUGGGGAUGGACUCGCGGCCUAUCAGCUUGUUGGUGAGGUAAUGGCUCACCAAGGCGACGACGGGUAGCCGGCCUGAGAGGGUGACCGGCCACACUGGGACUGAGACACGGCCCAGACUCCUACGGGAGGCAGCAGUGGGGAAUAUUGCACAAUGGGCGAAAGCCUGAUGCAGCAACGCCGCGUGAGGGAUGACGGCCUUCGGGUUGUAAACCUCUUUUAGUAGGGAAGAAGCGAAAGUGACGGUACCUGCAGAAAAAGCACCGGCUAACUACGUGCCAGCAGCCGCGGUAAUACGUAGGGUGCAAGCGUUGUCCGGAAUUAUUGGGCGUAAAGAGCUCGUAGGCGGUUUGUCGCGUCUGCUGUGAAAUCCCGAGGCUCAACCUCGGGCUUGCAGUGGGUACGGGCAGACUAGAGUGCGGUAGGGGAGAUUGGAAUUCCUGGUGUAGCGGUGGAAUGCGCAGAUAUCAGGAGGAACACCGAUGGCGAAGGCAGAUCUCUGGGCCGUAACUGACGCUGAGGAGCGAAAGCAUGGGGAGCGAACAGGAUUAGAUACCCUGGUA
rnacentral:rRNA from 1 species